rnacentral:rRNA from 1 species
AUACGGAGGGGGCUAGCGUUGUUCGGAAUUACUGGGCGUAAAGCGCGCGUAGGCGGAUCGUUAAGUCAGGGGUGAAAGCCCGGAGCUCAACUCCGGAACUGCCCUUGAUACUGGCGAUCUCGAGGCCGGGAGAGGUGAGCGGAAUUCCUAGUGUAGAGGUGAAAUUCGUAGAUAUUAGGAGGAACACCAGUGGCGAAGGCGGCUCACUGGCCCGGUACUGACGCUGAGGUGCGAAAGCGUGGGGAGCAAACAGGAUUAGAAACCCUAGUAGUCC